AUGACGUCAAGUCCUCAUGGCCUUUAUGUCCAGGGCUACACACGUGCUACAAUGGACGGUACAGAGGGUCGCAAUAUCGCGAGAUGGAGCCAAUCCCAAAAAGCCGUUCCAGUUCGGAUUGGAGUCUGCAACUCGACUCCAUGAAGUUGGAAUCGCUAGUAAUCGCGGAUCAGCAUGCCGCGGUGAAUACGUUCCCGGGCCUU
rnacentral:rRNA from 1 species